GACGUAGGGCGCGAGCGUUGUCCGGAUUUAUUGGGCGUAAAGAGCUCGUAGGCGGUUUGUCGCGUCUGCUGUGAAAACCUAAGGCUCAACCUUGGGCUUGCAGUGGGUACGGGCAGACUAGAGUGCGGUAGGGGUGACUGGAAUUCCUGGUGUAGCGGCGGAAUGCGCAGAUAUCAGGAGGAACACCGAUGGCGAAGGCAGGUCACUGGGCCGCAACUGACGCUGAGGAGCGAAAGCAUGGGGAGCGAACAGG
rnacentral:rRNA from 1 species